rnacentral:rRNA from 1 species
CUAUGCGCCUUGCCAGCCCGCUCAGUCAGAGUUUGAUCCUGGCUCAGAUUGAACGCUGGCGGCAUGCCUUACACAUGCAAGUCGAACGGCAGCGCGGGAGCAAUCCUGGCGGCGAGUGGCGAACGGGUGAGUAAUAUAUCGGAACGUGCCCAGUAGUGGGGGAUAGCCCGGCGAAAGCCGGAUUAAUACCGCAUACGACCUGAGGGUGAAAGCGGGGGAUCGCAAGACCUCGCGCUACUGGAGCGGCCGAUAUCAGAUUAGCUAGUUGGUGGGGUAAAGGCCUACCAAGGCAACGAUCUGUAGUUGGUCUGAGAGGACGACCAGCCACACUGGGACUGAGACACGGCCCAG